rnacentral:lncRNA from 1 species
GCCCCUCUAUUCCAUGACUAACAUUGAAACAAUAGUGCAUAUCACUAUGACUAAAUACUCAUAAAUUUCUAACGAUGGCCCCUCAAAUUCCAUGAAACAUAAACCUUAUCUUCUUCUUUUUUCUCUAACUUCUCCCAUCAUUUUCUGUUACACCAGCUUUUGAUCCCAAAAAGAAAAGAAAGUGUGUCAUUGGACAGAGCCAUUGCUUUACAUUUUCCAACCUUCCAGUGUAUAUAACAGCUCUUAUAUAAUGAAACUAAAAAUUGAAUCACUUCCACUCGUAGAUACAUUGCUCAAGAAACUUCUCCGAGUAGUACAUUCAUAGUCUCUCAAAAUCUACAUCAAUAACAAAGGAAGGGGGUACAGAACUACUUUGUACUAGUUAUACUAGAGCAAGUAAUCCAUUUACCAGUCACAGAAUUUGGUGAAGGUAGUGAUUUAACUUGUUUAAGCAAUAACUGAUCUUCUGAUUCAGGGAAAGGAAAUACUUUCUUUUCAUUGUCAAAUUCACUAGUCUGAAUCUCCUUUAGAGUAUCCAAAACUUCAACCAUAGUAGGCCUCAUGUCCCUAUCUGUCUGUAAGCAUAGAAAAGCCAGCUCUGCCACUGAAGUAGUCAUUUCCAAAAUCUUGGUAUCUGAGUCGAACCCCAGGGAUGGAUCGAUCAACUCAUGAAAUGCACAUUUUACGAUCUUGUUUAUAGCAAAGUUAGCCAAAUUAAUUUCUUGGCUAUGCCUGUUCAUAUCCACAGCUGGCAUUGAUGAAAUGAGCUCAACAAGGACCACCCCGAAGCUAUAGACAUCACUUUUACUAGUCAGCUGAUAACAUUCUUGAUACUUUGGAUCAAUAUAGCCAGGGGUCCCCCGGGGUGCAGUUGAUAUAUGAGAGACGUCAUUUGGGAAGAGACGUGAUAUCCCGAAAUCUGCAACUUUGACACUGAAAUUCUGAUCAAGGAGUAUGUUAUUAGUCUUGACAUCACAGUGUAUUAUGUCAGAAGCAUGAAGGUAAGCCAAUGCACCAGCAGUUUCUAUGGCAAUGUUCAAACGGACUGGCCAGGUGAGUGAUCUGUUCUUCGCUCUGUCACCAUGGAGGUGAUCAGCAAGAGUUCCAUUAGGAAUGUAUUCAUAGACAAGGAGUAGUUCACGGCUACGCCUUGAUGUGCAGCCAUAGAGGGUGACAAGAUUGUUGUGCCUUAGCCUAGUAAGGAUCUCAAUUUCAUUUACAAACUGCUGCAUUUGUUUGCAGUUCUGCUCGUAAAGGCGCUUCACAGCAACCUCUCGUCCAUCCUUUAGUUUUCCUAGUCAUUGAAGAACAAGAAUUAGGCACAUGAAGAUAUAGUUGAAACAUAGCUCAGUUGGAUUAGUUCCUCACCAUAGUAAACAGUUCCAAAACCUCCAUGUCCAAGUACUCUGGAGGAACUGAAAUCAUUUGUGGCUUUUUCAAGUUCUGAAUAAGAGAAGACUGGGACACCAAAGUAUUUGCUCCCUCCCUCAACAUCAUGUUUAAAUAUAUCCGAGAAUUUCUUUGCCGAGAGGUAGCGGAAUGGACUAAAUUUCCUCUCCUUGUAACACCAGAUAAAGGAGACAGCUAAACAAGUUAUCAUCAACAAUCCUACCACACCAAAAACUGAAAGAGAAGUCAGUAAACCAAGUCACUCAAACAAAAAUAAAAAUAAAAAUAAAAAGAUAGCAAGGAGAAGGAAUUUUCCUUUUUUUUUGAUGAAAAAAGGUUAUAGAUUUCACUAAAGAGUGCCAAGAAGGUAUAAGAAAGAGAACAGACUACAAAAUUUCCUUCUAUAUUUUGAAUGAAUGCAAAAUAUAUAACAUAGCGUUCAUAUCCGAUACAAUGCUUUCUCUACACCAUAAGUAUAGACUUUUCAAACAUCUAGAUUUGACAUGAAGUAUUUUUCCCUCUAUCAUCAUUAGAACAUCUGUCAUUCUUCUCCUGCCAGACAUUCCAGAAAGAAUUUUCCCUCAACUCCAUUAUCCAUAUGUUUUGUGUAACGGAACUUUUUGAACUGAAAGAAUUUAAAACUCUUCUUUAUGUUUCUUUAUGUCAAGAGAAAGUUGUUGAACUUAUACCACUUUAAAGAUGAAAACUCAAAUGAUAUGCAUAGAAAUACUGUAAUAGCAUAUAGUAUUACAGCUUAAUAUAUAUCAAAACUACCUGUGCCUAGAACCAGCCCCACCAUACUUCUUGUAGUCGUUGCUGCAUCUACAAAAGAGAAAAUGUUAUGGCAUAUUAUCGAUAUGUGAUAUGAAAACAAAAAAGGACCCUAAGAAAUAUGCACUAGACUUUGAACAUGUUGAUUAUUUGGAACUGUCUACCUUUUUGACAAUAAAAUUUGUUGGUUGUAUCCGUCCGACAUUGACCUCCAUCAUAGUGACAUUUGUUACAGUCAUCAGAGAGUUUCCAUUCUACUAGAAAUCCGGGAGUAAAAAAGUUUCCAUCUAAUGUUGGGUGAAUUGGCAAUUGGAGAAGUGAACAGUUUGUAGUAAGAUUGCCUGCUCGAACGUCUUCAUCAUCACCUCCAGGAAGCUUGUAGUAUAUGCUAAAGCCUUUACAACCAUUGUACAUUUUAUAACCAGAAAAAUGCUCGUUGUUCUUCGGGGUACUACUAGUGCUGUUGCAUCUGUAAAAAUCCCUCAUAAAUAUUUGGAUAAUUUUGAAAGAUAUCGAAGGAGAAUCUGGAAGGGAGAUAUUUUUGUUAAAAGCCUGGCACUUGUUUUUCCUCAAUAUAGUUUGAAGCUUCAGGUCCACGAGCCAAACUGUAUAAUUAAACGGCUCGUCCAUAGCAUCAUACCAAUCUCCUCCAGGAAGCAAUUGGAUUCUUGGAUAUUGUUUAACAUUACAACCAGAAAUGGACAUUAUUCCACAGUCAGGUUGUGUUAGAAGAGUGAAAGGAAAGCUCAUGUCAGUAAGAUUUCCACAUGAAAAGGACUUUGGACAAGUUGAAUCAUUUCUCCCGUUUGCCUGAACUAAAAUCAGAAGAAGAGAUAGAAUAAAGCAAACAAAAGAAGAAGCCAAAGCCAUAUUGAAUAUCUACUGCAAGAAGAGGAAAGAGAGCUGAAGAUUUGUGAAUUGCAACUCUAGCUAAACAGACUAUCUUAUAGGCUCAAGUUCCAUAACUAGUCGUUAUCUUAUUCAUAUAUAUUUGUAAAAAAGGAAACAGUAUGUACAACCAAACGUAUAAGAAGGGUCAGACUUAUUGAGCAAAAGAAAGGCAAAGUAAAAAGGAAAUUUCCACUGUACCUUUUCGUAAACAACCAAACGUAUAAGAGGGGUCAGACUUAUUGGGAAAAAGAAAGGCGAAGAAGAAUAGGAAAGCUUCACAUUACCUUUUCUAGCCAUCAACACCAGUAGAAAGACUUGACUUGUUGACUCUGUGUACUAACAGAGACUUAUCAACAUUUUUCAGGACCGUCUCCGGAAAUGGAAGAUUUCAACUGUAGAAAUAGAAGCAAUAUUCAUUUCAGUUGUCUGAAAGUUAAAUGGUUUGCAGAUAUAUCCGAAGGCACAUAAAGAUAGUAUGAGAAUGAAAUUUUCAGGACCAACCUUCCAUUUGUUCAUUUUUCUCACUAUAAACUAUCAAGAAUAUGUUUCCAACCUUCAUCCCUAACUUAUGAACACUCACCUCAGAAAUCCAAGACACUGUGAGUGUAUGACAAAGAUUGAAACAAGAGUGCAUAUUACGAUGACAUAAUACUUAGAUAAACACUUGUACUUACACAGAUUUCUAAUGCCGGUCCUCAACAACUCCAUUAGUUCUCGAUUAAAAAGUUCUUAAAACUGCCGGGUGUAUACAACUUAAACUUUUAUAGAAAUUAAAAAUUGGAUCACUUCUACUCAUAGUACAUAGCUCAAGAAACUUCUCACAGUAGUACAUAUGCAGUCUCCCAAAAUUUACAUAGAAGUAACAAAGAAACGAAGUAUAGAAAUCUUAACUACUUUGUACAAGUUAUAUCAGAGCAAGUAGUCCAUUUGUCAGUCACAGAAUUUGGAGAAGGUAGUGAUUUAACUUUCUUCAACAAAACAAUAUCUUCUGAUUCAGGGAAAGGAGGAGCUGCUACUAUUUUAGCUUCAUUGGCAUUGAGAUUAGUCUGAAUCUCGUUUAGAGUAUCCAAAACUUCAACCAUAGUAGGCCUCACGUCCCUAUCUGUCUGCAAGCACAGAAAAGCCAGCUCCGCCACUGAAGUAGUCAUUUCCCGAGUUUUGGUAUCUGAAUCGAACCCCAGGGAUGGAUCAAUCAACUCAUUAACUGCAGAUUUUAUGAUCUUGUUUAUUGCAUAGUUGGCCAAAUUGAUCUCUUGGCUAUGCCUGUUCAUAUCCACAGCUGGCAUUGAUGAAAUGAGCUCAACAAGGACCACCCCGAAGCUAUAGACAUCACUUUUAAUGGUCAGCUGGUAACAUUCGUGAUACUUUGGAUCAAUAUAGCCUGGGGUACCCCGGGGUGUAGUCGAAAUAUGAGAGACAUCAUUUGGGAAGAGCCUUGAAAUCCCAAAAUCCGCAACUUUAACACCAAAGUUGUGAUCAAGGAGUAUGUUAUUAGUCUUCACAUCGCAGUGUAUUACAUCAGAAGCAUGCAGGUAAGCCAAUGCACCAGCAGUUUCUAUGGCAAUGUUCAUGCGGACUGGCCAGGUAAGUGAUCCGUCCUUCGCUCUGUCACCAUGAAGGUGAUCAGCAAGAGUACCAUUAGGAAUAUAUUCAUAGACAAGGAGUAGUUCACGGCUUCGUCUUGAAGUGCAUCCAUAGAGGGUGACAAGAUUAUUGUGCCUUAGUCUAGUAAGGAUAUCAAUUUCAUUUACAAACUGCUCCAUUCGCUUGCAGUUGUGCUCGUAGAGGCGCUUUACAGCAAUCUCCCGUCCAUCUUUAAGUUUUCCUGUUCAUCGAUGGGAAAGAAUUAGCCAGAAGAAGAAACAGUUGAUACAUAUCCAGGUUAAGAAGUUUCUCACCAUAGUAAACAGUUCCAUAACCUCCAUCUCCAAGUACUCUAGAGGAAUUGAAAUCAUCUGUGGCUUCUUCAAGUUCUGAAUAAGAGAAGACUGAAACACCAAAGUAUAUACUGCCUCCCUCAGCAUCAUGAUUAAAGAUAUUUGACAAUUUCCUUGUCGAGAAGAAGUGGGAUGAACUAAAUUUCCUCUUCUUGUAACGCCAGAUAACGUAUACAGCUAAAGAAGUUAUCAUCACCGAUCCUACUCCGCCAAAGACUGGAAGAGAAGUUAGUAAUCAAUGUCUUUGGAAAAGCAAAACGAAAUAGCAUCUAGAAGGAAUUCUCCCUCAACUCCACAUCCAUACAUUUUGUGUUUAAGUCUCUUCUUUCUGUUCCUUUAUUGCUAGAGAAAGGAUUUGAGCUUAUACAAAAUGAUGGAAUUUUAAAUGAUAUGCUUGAAUAUUCUGUAAUAAGAAUACAUGGCAGCAAUUAAACAUAUUUUACUACCUGUUCCCAGAAUCUGCCCCACCAUAUUUCUUCCAGUUGUUUCUUUUCUUUGAUCGGUACUACCUGUAGGUGGUUUUGCAUCUACAGAAGGUGGCAAUAAUACGAAAUAUAUUAUUUAUGUGGCAUGAAACAAAAAAGGGACUUAAGAAGCAUGAACUUGACCUUGAAAUUAUAGAUUAUUUUGGAGAUGUCUACCUUUGUGACAAGAAAAUUUGUUGGUUUUAUCAGUCUGGCAUUGACCUCCACUAUAAUGACAUUCGUUACAUUCCUCAGACAGUUUCCAUUCUACUAGAAUUUCGGGACCUAAUAUGUCGAACAAAUCACCAUGACUUGAUUGAAUUGGCAAUCUGAUAAGUGAACAGUUGGUAGGAAGAUUGUCUGCUCUUAUGUAUUCAUCAACUUCAGAAAACUUGUAGUAUAUGCUAAGGCCUUCACAGCCACUGUACAUAUUAUAAUCCACAAAAUGAUUGUUCUUCUUCUGCAUAAUGUUAUGGGCAUUAUUACUGCUACUGAUGCAUUUGAAGAACUUAUUAAUAUUAAUCAUAUGGAAAGACAUAAAAGGAGAGUUUGGAAGGGAGAAAUUUUUGUUGAAAGCCUGGCACUUGUGUUGUCUCAGUGUCGUUUGAAGCUUAGGGUCCCCAAUCCAAACUGAUGAAUUAUGCAUCUCUAAAGCAUAGUACCAUUCUCCUCCAGGAACUAUUUGGAUUCUUGGAUAUGGUUUAGCAUCACAACCAGACAUGGACAUUAUUCCACAAUCGGGUUGUGUGGGAAGAGAGUAAGGAAAUGUCAGGUCAGUAAAAUUUCCACAUGAAAAGGACUUUGGACAAGUUGAAACAUUUCUGCCCUUUGCCUGAACUAACAUCACAAGUAGAGACAGAAGGAAACAAAUAAAAGAAGAAGACAAAUCCAUACUGAAUCUAACUGCAAUAAGAGGAAAGCUAGCUAAAGCUUUGUGAAUUGUGACUCUAGAAGUCUAUAUCUUAUAAGACAUGAAUAGUGUCUCCAUUACUAGUCUUAAGUUUAUUGGUAAUGUUUGUUAAAAAGAAAAAUGUGCAACACAAACGUAUAAGAAGGGUCAGAUGUAUUAAUCAAGUAAAGAAAGGUGAAGAAAAAAAAGGAAAUGUUCACAUUAGCUUUUCUAGCAAUUGACUCCAGUAGAAAGACUUGCCUUCUUGACUCAGCAAUAUAACAUUAUUUUCAGGACCACCAAAAAUUAAUGACUUGACCAGUAGAAAUAGAAGCUAUACAUACAUCCAUAUGUUAAAAAAAAAAAAAAAAAAAAAAUAUUCUAGUCACACCCCAAAAUGCACCUAAAGAUAGUCUGAAAAUGUAAAAAAAAACACUGGAAUCUAUGACUAAGAUUCAAACAAGAGUGCAUCAUAUCAUAUAUUAUUAUAAGUGGGAAGCUUCUAACCUCAAAGUUGAAUUACUAUUUUAUCCUUUAUUUAAAUAUUAUUUUUUUUAUGUACAAAAGAAAAAAAUAUAUUCUAAUAACUAAAUACAAAACUGGAUAUAAAUGGGAGCAGUUUUAAGGUAUUCAAAUGUGCAUUAUAUUAUGUAAUAAAUAUAUUGGAAGAUAGAAAGUCAUUCAAAUGGAUGAAAUAGCUUGAGUAAGUUGUUAGCGGAAGUCCAAGCAUUUGAAAAUUGAAGAGUUAUCUUGAUGACACUUAUUUCACAUUAUUAUUGCCAACUUCAAUGUAAUUGUUAACAAUUAUAUAUAUGGGGAUGUUCAUGGAUUAUUUGAUAGGCAUAGCUUGUGAAACACUGAAUGCAAGGAGGGAGUCAAGCCACUCAAGAAUUAUUUUUUCAUGCUCUCUUUGAUCAGUAAGUUUAAUAAAAACAAAUAUGUUGCUUCUAUUUCCUUAAAUAAACAUUUCAUAUUUAUUUUUUUGAAUUUUUGACAAGAAAGCUCUUUUACAUGUAUUCACCAUCUUGAAAUGUGUAUGCAUGUUUACUUAUGAAUCAUGAUUCGAAAUACGAAGGUUAAAUUAUCUAAUUAUUUUAUAUCAUUUCAUGAAUUAAAAUAGAAUAUUUUUAAAUUCUUUAGAAUAAAUUUUACAUAUUUAUACAUUACAAUCAAAAGUGACAGGAAAUUCACUUUUAAUUAUUUUGUGUUUGUAGAUAACCCUUUUAUUUAUUUACUUUUUAUGAAUGAAAAUGUGGAAGUAAGAAAGAAAACUAUAAAAAUAAAAUGGUGGGAACAUAAACGAAAGGCGAAGACAAGAAUUAAGGCAAAUGAUGCAAAAUAGUAACGUUAGGGGAAAAUAAUAAUAAAGUAAGAGAAAAAAAAGGAUAAAAAAUAUUAAAAUAUGAUAAGAAGUAUGAAAAAUAACCAUGACCAAACUAUUGUAAUUUUUUGUUCAUGCUACAAAGGAGAAUAAACAUACUAUGUCAUGUGAAUGUAAUAUGGAGACAACAUAUAUACUUGUUACAAGUACAUAUGGUAAUUCAAACUUCGGUACAAAUUGAGAAGGUAUUUUAUGUGUGUAUUGUCCCUUUCUUAGAAAAGUAACAAACUAAUAUAUUGCAGGUUUCGGCCUAAUAACAUAAAAAGGUAAAUUAUUUAUCACAUUAAAUUUUGUUGUUCAAAUUUGGCAGGUUACCGAAAUAUCUAAUUAUUUGGCAUUUACAUUUUACAAUAAAGAAGUCAUUUAUAUAGGUUGAUUGUUCAUUUAUUUCAUUUAUAUUUUUUCGUUAAAUCAUUUGUGAAAUUCAGCACAAUGUGAUUUUAAUAUAACUCCUACCACAUAUAAUAUUUUCGUGGGACUCACGUGCAAAGCACGUGUUCAGGACUAGUAUUAUUAAAAGUGGAAGCAUCAAAGUACAAUGUUGGAUUACCAUUUUACCCUAAUAUUAAAUAAAAAUGUUAUAAAAUAUUUAAUUAACAAAAUAUUAAAUAGUAAUCAUAUCACAUAUUAUACUGUACUUAAAAUAUAUAUUUUUACAUAAAAUAGAUACAUUUAAAAUACAAUUAUUAAUUGAUAAUCUUCUAAAAAAACUGUUGUCUCUUUACAUUCUCCACUAUGAUCCUUGUCUUUUCAUUUCACAUAUGUAUAUCUUCUUGUUCUUUACAUUUUGUUUUUAUGAGUUUGAUAGAGAGCAUAGGAACACUGUCCUUUCCGAUGCUCCAUUGUGCAUGUUCUUUUAAGUUAUUUUUUGGGAAAAUGCACAAGUACCCCCGGAAAAGGGGUAGAAAAUUAUAUAUAUAAUAAGUUCGGGGGUAAUAGGACCUUAGUAAAGGUUAGGUGUGUCUCAUGGAUUUAGGGCAUAGGCUGGGGGUACUUAUGCAUUUUCCCUUAUUUUUUAUUUUGUUUCUUACUUCUUACUUCUUACUUCUUACUUAUCAUAUAGUUUAUUGUUUGAUUGAUGUUUAAGAUUUUGAUCUCUGAUAUAAAAUAAAAAAUUUAAUUUUGUGUCAAUAGCUUAUGAGAUGAUUUUUUUGUUGCAGGGAAAAUCAAUUGAUGAGAUGCUUCUGUCUCAAUCGCAUAGAACUGUACUUUGAGUUGUGCCAAUACUAAUGGGGUAAGUGACAUUUCCUUCUAACAUUAAUUUUUUUGUUAGCACAAUAUUCUUUGUUUGGUUUUUCUUUUCUCUUUUUUAUUUUGUUAAUAGUAGGUCAAAUUUAUUGAAUUUUCAUUCAUGUGAUUUAUUUGUGUGUAAAGCUAAUUAAGUAUUGAAUUUUGAUAUCAACCGUCAUAACCCAAUAAAAGUAAAAAACGUAUUUAUGAGCUAUGGCAUGUUGAGUGAUUUGAUAUUCAUUGCCUAUUUGGCUUCACUUUCUUUGUCUGAAUUUAAUUUUUUUAAUGGAGCUUUCAUCCAAAAAGAAAGAAGGGAGGAUAACAACCCAUGUUAAGAAAGAAAGGAAUGACUACAAUAUCAUAUUUUGGUUAUUUUUCUCACGAAAUUAUAUUAACUUUCUUUGCUUUAAUUUUAGUUGAUUGCUUUAGUUAUUUGAGCCAUAGUUUAUCCCUCCCUUUCUCCUUUAGAAUUUAUAUUACUUAUCACUCACAUGUCGUAAUAUUAUUUUUUAUCCCUUUUUUUUUUUUGACAACAUAAAACAAUACAUGUCUUUUUGUUUCUCAAGUACAAUUUUAACAAUACAGUUCGACAAAAUAUAAAUGAAAUGUUGAAUUCCUUUUCUAACUAAAAAAAAUAUUAUAAUUGCGUUGAGUCACAUCAAAUAAAGUUCGUAUAGAAAUGUAAUAUUGAUUUUGGAGGUAGGACAACGGUUAAUUGAUGAUAUGAGCAUAUUAAGCCUGCAAUCUAUGGAUUUAAUUAACUUAAUUGUUUUUUUUAUCAAAACAUAACAUCUAUAUAAAAACUACUACUAAAAUUUGACAAAUUCAUAUCAAAUUUUAACUCAUAAAUUCAAAUUAAAAUCAAUUUAGUACUAAUUAAGAAUCUUCAAAGUUGGACAUUUUAGAUAUUGGAUGUCAUUGAUUUUUGAAUAUAUUUAUCAUAUUGAUGCAAUUUUGAAAAAUACUUAUGCUCACUGUGGUAAGGGAUAUACGCGCGUGCCCAAAUACUAGUAGUGAUAUAAAUACCUCAACUUGUGAAAAAAAUGAAUGUUUUAAGCACUUCUAACCUCGCAUGUUCAUGUCCACAGUUAAUAUGGCUACUAUUAACCUUCUCCCAUUCAUUUUCUGUAUCACCAGUUUUGAUCCCGAAACAACGAGGGGGCCAUUGGACAGAGGAGCCACUGUCACUCUGAUGAUCCCCUUUACAUUCUCCGACCUCGAGGAUUCAACAACCUCUUCUGUGUACUGAAAGUGUAUAAUAUUCCUAUGCCAUUGGGUUAAGUUACCUGCAAUAACAAGUAAUUGUUUGUAACAGAUAUGUAUUAUAAGCUUGAAAAUAAAGUAGCAAAACCUGCUACAACAACUAGAGAAAAGUAAAUUUUAUUAGAAAAAAUAGACUGUCCAGCAAUACAAAGCUGAUACUGAAACAUUACACAAAUAGAGUAAAAACUUCUACACUGCAAGGUAUAUAACAUAAACUCUUAAAUAAUGAAACUAGAAAUUGAAUGACUUCCAGCUCAAGAAAUUUCUCACAGUAGUACAUCAAUAACAAAGAAAUGGGGUGUAGAACUUUUAACUACUUUGUUCUAGUUAUAUCAGAGCAAGUAAUCCAUUUAUCGGUCACAGAAUUUGGAGAAGGUAGUGAUUUAACUUGUUUCAACGAUAACGUAUCUUCUGAUUCAAGGAAAGGAGAAGCUGUUACUAUUUUAGCUUCAGUGGCAUUGAUAUUAGACUCAGUUCUCUUUUCAUUGCCAAAUUCACUAGUCUGAAUCUCGUUUAGAGUAUCCAAAACUUCAACCAUAGUAGGCCUCAUGUCCCUAUCUGUCUGCAAGCACAGAAAAGCCAGCUCUGCCACUGAAGUAGUCAUUUCCCAAAUCUUGGUAUCUGAAUCGAACCCCAGGGAUGGAUCAAUCAACUCAUGAAAUGCAC